ensembl:lncRNA
GUUUAAAUGAAUGCUGACAAGAAGAAAAAAAAAAUGGCUGUCUAUGCAGUAUAAAUGCAUCUCUGCUACAUGGCUAGAGAAAGCAGAGAAAAGGGCUGUGGCAAAAAGCUGGAGCUCUGCACUGGAAAAAGUAUGUCUUUGAGAGCAUGAACCCGCUCAGAUGUCACAAGCAUGCAAUUUUGAUGAGCUGCAAUGGGAAAGCAGAAUCAUUCAGUGAGUGACAGAGAGUGCAAGAAAAAAAGUUGCAAAGAAAGUUGAGAACAGAAAGAUUAGAAAGAAAGAGAGAUGGAAAAGGACAGAACAGGAAAGUAAUACCUUCAGUAUUAUAAAUACCACCGUAAAGCAUUACAGAGAGUUUCAUCAGAGAUAGAUACAAUGUAGCUUGCUGCCACAACCCUGAGCUAACAAGCUGUCUUUGGAUACUGCUGAGCUUCUGUUACAUUUGGAGAAAGGAUGAUAAAAGCCUUCUGUAAUACUAUAAUAGAGUUGAGAGGUGAUGCAAAAUAACAUAAAUCAUAACAAGCAUCUUCUUAGCCAGCAGGCAUAGACUAACAUAUAGUAAACAAAUUAUUUAUAAAUGUGAAAACUGUAAAAACUAUUGUGUCCAUGGAGGUUCUUAAAAGUAAUAGAUCUUCCAAAAAGAAUAUUUCUGUCAUCAUUUACUCACCCUCAUGUCAUUCCAAAUUGUUUCUUUCCGCAGUAGCCUACAAGACAGAUUGAGGACUCUAGCAGAAAGUCUAAGCUGCUCUCUUCUCGAAUAAUGAAAGUGGACGGGGACCAUAAAAUAUAAAAGUAACCAAUAAUCCAAGGAACAUGAAAUCUAAGAUGCUAUCUCUACUAAGAGCAUGUCGAAUAUUCUUGACAUCAACAUGGUUAUGCUAUUGUUAACAAAUACAACAUAUAUAUUUAAUUGAAUUAGCCUAUUAAUUAUGUAGUAUUAUUAUUUUUAUUAAUGUAUUUUUAGUAAUAAUUUUAUAUAUUUAUUUAUUUAUUUAUUUAAAAUGAUUCAUUUACAUUAUCAAUUUAACAUAAAAUAAAUACAUGCUAAUUUUUGUAUAUAUGUUGGAU